rnacentral:rRNA from 1 species
GACGAACGCUGGCGGCGUGCCUAAUACAUGCCAGUCGAACGAGAGCGCCCGGUGCUUGCACUGGUCAAUCUAGUGGCGAACGGGUGAGUAACACGUGGGUAACCUGCCCAUCAGAGGGGGAUAACAUCCGGAAACGGAUGCUAAAACCGCAUAGGUCUUCGAGCCGCAUGGCUUGAAGAGGAAAAGAGGCGCAAGCUUCUGCUGAUGGAUGGACCCGCGGUGCAUUAGCUAGUUGGUGGGGUAACGGCUCACCAAGGCCGUGAUGCAUAGCCGACCUGAGGGGGUGAUCGGCCACAUUGGGACUGAGACACGGCCCAUACUCCUACGGGAGGCAGCAGUAGGGAAUCUUCUGCAAUGGACGCAAGUCUGACGGAGCAACGCCGCGUGAGUGAAGAAGGUGUUCGGAUCGUAAAACUCUGUUGUUAGAGAAGAACAAGUGCUAGAGUAACUGUUAGCGCCUUGACGGUAUCUAACCAGAAAGCCACGGCUAACUACGUG